UGUCCUUCUCAAUGGGUAUUAUGUCCUAUCAAAGCCAUUGUUCGGCAGAGCCCAGGCCUGACAAUGUCCCAUUGUGGCAGAUGCAAACGAGAGUUCCAGGUCUCUCGCUUCACUUAGAGCCUGCAGAGUUGAGCCAUCCUCCUGUGGACUGCUCUGCGCACACAUCAUGUCUGGGCCACCGGGGCCGCCGCCGCACAUCGCAGAAGCCUUGACCGGCUUUAGGGAGGUUGGAAACCUCUGUCUGUGCUCUGAUUUUGAUUAAAUACAAAGACUGCAGCACUUGUUUACAGAAAGAUGGCACCAGGAAAGCAGACCGUGGAGCUGCCUGCGCAAGCCUCCUGCCUCCCUGCAAAGCCACGUUUGGAGCUACAAGGAUACAGAGCACUGACAGAAGGUGCCGGAGGGUUUGUAUUCUCUGUGAUGGCUUGAAUUCUCCAUAAUUUUAAAAGGAACUUAGAGAUCACCUUCAAUUACUUGCAAGAGGUUGGUUUUGCUUAGCUAAACCAGAAAUGGGUAGUAAUCACUGCAUGGAUUUUAUUUUUAAUGCUUCCUGAAUUUACAUGUCAUCCUUGAGCAAGAGACAUGCUAAUCUCUGUAUCGUCUCAAUUUUAUUAUAUAUGCUGCACAGUGAGCAUCACUGAAUGGAUUUUUGAUUCCUAAGCCUGUGGCUACCAGUUGUAGUUUUUUAUUUCUGGGUCAUAUGAGAUCUUGUACUUGCUCUAUCUGUGGAAGAAUGGUAAGGAGCUCAUCGUAAAUGGUUAUUUAGGAGGCACUGGAUAACAGUCUCACCUGGAAAUCAUCUACUCUCCGUGACUGUCUCUUCCUAGCAGAAGCAGGUGAUGACUUGCACCAGGCUCCUGAACAGCGCCUGUCGACAGUCUCGGCAGAGCAGGAGGUGGCUCUUGGGGCUGCCUGAAUGCUCUGUGUUCUCUGUCUCUUCUUCCUGUCUGGGUUGGAGGAUCUUGAUAGAGAUCACUCUCCUAAUGCCGCACAGUGAGAAUGCUUGCCCGACAGGAGUACCAGGUGUAGAAGGAUGCCUCGAGUCCCUUAAGUCAGUCCCUUUGGAAAGGAGGAAUUACCCUGGCAUCCCACUUCUCCAGCUGCCCUUGGGCUUGCUGGCAAACUAUCCUAUGCACCUCUCCCUCCAACUGUAAAAUGCAGACAGUAUCUGUGGACUAGUUCUCAUUGGGAUUUGUCGAGAAACAGAGACUGGUUAGAGGCAAAGGUGUUUUAUAAGAGGAAGUCCUCUGCUUGUUUGAAUCAUCGAUGGCAAGAUGGAUUGAAUCUGCACACAUGCCACAGGCUUUCAGGAUCUGCUGACAGAACAGAAACAUAUGUACUAUUCCGGACCAAAUGUCACAUGAAACUCUCCUCAAGGCACAACAGACAAAUGUGGAGUCAUGAUCCUUCCCCAUGAUGUCAUCAAAACUGAGAAACAGAGUCUGAAUUGGAUGAUCUCUUCUGUUUCUGGUCUCACAAACUUGGAGCUGUAAAGUGCUGUGUCCUCCCCACACAAGAGCCACAGGAUGGAGUUCUCCUCCCAUCACCACCCACGUCGGUCUUCCCAGUAGGCCAAGGGGCAUUCUGCUAAGCCGCCAGACAGGUGCUCUUCAGAGGAAAGACUAAGCAGAAGACCAUGAAAGAGUGAAAGGGCCAAGACUCCUUGGUGUGGAAAUGACUUCAGAGUGUGCCAAUGAGAGCUAUCCUGAAAAUCUCUGCCUAUUCUUUGCAAAGGAGACAGCCACAAGUGGGGAACCAUGACACAGGAGCUCCCUACACACUACCAGCCAUGAAGACCUGUGUGACAAUAAAAGUCUGCUGUUCCCUUUGCCUGAUUUUCUCUCUGAAGAAUAACCUUCUGGCUGCUCAGCCAACCAUACCAUAGUCUAAAGGAAAACAGGAAUGCAGAUCACAGGGAGGCAAAUGUGAUCUCACUCAGGUCUGGAGAAGACACAGAACUUCACAGCACUGAGUACGAGAAGAAUGAGAGCCCAUUUCAGAGCUUUAGAAUUAUUGCAGAAAGUGAGACAAGAAUCUGUCUUGGUCCCUGUGAGGCUGGCAGUGGCAGCCCUGCAGGUUCCAGGAAGACAGCAGAGAAGGAGCAGGACUCUCCAGCAGUUGGGAGUAGAAUGCCCCUGGAGGACAGUAGAUGUUAUCUAUGGGACUGAGAUAUUGGGCCAAUUUCUAUAGCCCUGAAUUAAUCUCUCCUUACCUGCCAUCAAGCUGUCUUCUAGCCUUGGUCUAGAUUCCCUCCUGAAAAGUCAUUCUCCCGUUAGAAACAAUGACAUGGCCUUUUUCUGUUUCUGGACAGUUUCAUUUGCUAGGAGAACGUAAGUUUCCUUCCCCUAGAAUCUGCUUACUCUGAAUAAGCUCGAAAGCCAAGACGAUAUGAUAAUAACUUGGCAACCUUGGACAUAGAUGCAUUAAAAAAAUGAAGAAAAGGCAACUACCACACCAUGCCAAAUCAGUAUCCCCAGAGGGAGCGCUGCAUUCUACAAGGAGUAAAAUCCAUCACCAGGAAGAGCACUGCAUUCAACACAGAGUAGAACGCACAAUCCAAGCAAGUACUAAUCAUCUCCAUGCCUUUCCAUGCUACCAGCCCUCCAUCUUCUCAUCUUGUGCUAGAGGCUUCAUCAGAAUCCUUUGUAACCAUAGAGGCUGUUAUUUUACUUCCUCAUUUGUUUAUAUGUGAUGUAUUAACAUUUCCUAUGUGCACCAAAACAAAAACCCAAAAAAACAAAACAAAACAAAAAUCUUGCCAAGAGGUGGUGGUGUAUGCCUUUAAUCCCAGCAUUUGGGAGACAAAAGCAGGUCAAUCUCUGUGAGUUCCAGGACAGCCAGGGCUACACAGAAGAAACCCUGUCUCAAAAAACAAAACAAAUAAACAAACAAACAAAAGAAGCCCUAUGUGCAAGAUACUGAAUCAGGUGUUGGAGAAUGAAUAAGAAUGAAAAAUCUCAGGGCUGGAGAGAUGGCUCAGAGGUUAAGAACACUCGCUGUUCUUCUGAAGGUCCUGAGUUCAAUUCCCAGUCAACCACAUGGUGGCUCAUAACCAUCUAUAGUAAGAUCUGGUGUGCAGGCAGAAUGUUGUAUAAGUAAUAAAUAAAUCUUUAAAAAAAUGAAAAAAUCUCUAAGAUCUUUCCAAGGAGGCAGAGUUUAAAAGGGAAUAUAAGGCACAAAUAAAUAAUAUGCAAGAAUUGAUUGGUUA